AUGGACACCCACGUCGGCUCCGUCGACGGGCCGUCCCCGGCGGCGGUGAACGGCGCGGUGGGCUGCCCGGCGUCCGCGCCGGGGUGCCCGAUCAUGUCCUCCCACCCGGUGGUCUCCGCAGGCGAGGCGUCGCUGGGGCGCCACCUGGCGCGCCGCCUCGUGCAGGUCGGCGUCAGCGACGUCUUCGCCGUGCCCGGGGACUUCAACCUCACGCUACUCGACCACCUCGUCGACGAGCCCGGGCUGCGCCUCAUCGGCUGCUGCAACGAGCUCAACGCGGGCUACGCGGCCGACGGCUACGCGCGGGCCCGCGGCGUCGGCGCCUGCGCGGUCACCUUCACCGUCGGCGGCCUCAGCGUGCUCAACGCCAUCGCCGGCGCCUACAGCGAGAACCUGCCCGUCAUCUGCAUCGCCGGCGGGCCCAACUCCAACGACUACGGCACCAACCGCAUCCUCCACCACACCAUCGGCAUCCCGGACUUCUCACAGGAGCUACGCUGCUUCCAGACCGUCACCUGCCACCAGGCGGUGGUGACCAACCUGGACGACGCGCACGAGCAGAUCGACACGGCCAUCGCGACGGCGCUCAGGGAGAGCAAGCCGGUGUACCUCAGCAUCAGCUGCAACCUCCCCGGGCUACCUCACCCCACCUUUACCCGUGACCCAGUCCCCUUCUUCCUCGCCCCCAGGAUGAGCAACAAGAUGGGGCUCGAGGCUGCAGUGGAGGCAACUGUCGAGUUCCUGAACAAGGCGGUGAAGCCAGUGCUUGUCGCCGGCCCCAAAUUGCGCGUGGCGAAGGCGGGGAAGGCCUUCGUCGACCUCGUGGACGCCAGUGGGUAUGCCUAUGCUAUAAUGCCAUCGGCCAAGGGCUUUGUGCCAGAGACGCACCCCCACUUCCUCGGCACCUACUGGGGCGCCGUCAGCACCGCCUUCUGCGCCGAGAUUGUGGAGUCGGCCGACGCCUACCUCUUCGCAGGCCCUAUCUUCAACGACUACAGCUCUGUUGGCUACUCGUUCCUGCUCAAGAAGGACAAGGCCAUCAUCGUGCAGCCUGAGCGUGUCAUCGUCGGGAACGGCCCGGCAUUCGGCUGCGUCAUGAUGAAGGAGUACCUGUCUGCAUUGGCCAAGCGGGUUCAGAAGAACAACACUGCCUACGAGAACUACAAGAGGAUCUUCGUGCCUGAGGGCCAUCCGCUGAAGGGCGAGGCGAACGAGCCGCUGCGUGUCAAUGUGCUCUUCAAGCACAUCCAGGACAUGCUUACGGGUGACAGUGCAGUGCUCGCCGAGACCGGUGACUCCUGGUUCAACUGCCAGAAGCUCAAGCUGCCCGAGGGCUGCGGGUAUGAAUUCCAAAUGCAGUAUGGCUCGAUUGGAUGGUCAGUGGGUGCAUUGCUCGGGUACGCGCAAGGUGCAAGCGACAAGCGUGUUAUAGCCUGCAUUGGUGAUGGGAGCUUCCAGGUGACAGCACAGGAUGUGUCAACUAUGCUGCGGUGCGAACAGAACAGCAUAAUCUUCCUGAUCAACAAUGGCGGGUACACCAUCGAGGUGGAGAUCCACGACGGGCCUUACAAUGUCAUCAAGAACUGGAACUACACCGCCCUUGUGGAGGCCAUCCACAACGGGGAGGGCAAAUGCUGGACUGCCAAGGUGAAGUGCGAGGAGGAGCUGACGGCGGCGAUAGAGACGGCGCUGGGGGAGAAGAAGGACUCUCUGUGCUUCAUCGAGGUGAUCGCGCACAAGGACGACACCAGCAAAGAGCUUCUCGAGUGGGGUUCCAGGGUCUCUGCUGCCAACUCCAGGCCACCCAACCCCCAGUAG
rnacentral:rRNA from 1 species